UACCUAGUUCACAGGGUUCUUGCCAAGC
rnacentral:piRNA from 1 species